rnacentral:rRNA from 1 species
CGGAAACGGGCGCUAAUACCGCAUACGUCCUGAGAGCAAAGUGGGGGAUCUUCGGACCUCACGCUAUCAGAUGAGCCUAGGUCGGAUUAGCUAGUUGGUGGGGUAAAGGCCUACCAAGGCGACGAUCCGUAACUGGUCUGAGAGGAUGAUCAGUCACACUGGAACUGAGACACGGUCCAGACUCCUACGGGAGGCAGCAGUGGGGAAUAUUGGACAAUGGGCGAAAGCCUGAUCCAGCCAUGCCGCGUGUGUGAAGAAGGUCUUCGGAUUGUAAAGCACUUUAAGUUGGGAGGAAGGGCAGUAAGUUAAUACCUUGCUGUUUUGACGUUACCAACAGAAUAAGCACCGGCUAACUUCGUGCCAGCAGCCGCGGUAAUACGAAGGGUGCAAGCGUUAAUCGGAAUUACUGGGCGUAAAGCGCGCGUAGGUGGUUCAGCAAGUUGGAUGUGAACCAUCCGGGCUCAACCUGGGAACUGCAUCCAAAACUACUGAGCUAGAGUACGGUAGAGGGUGGUGGAAUUUCCUGUGUAGCGGUGAAAUGCGUAGAUAUAGGAGGGAACACCAGUGGCGAAGGCGACCACCUGGACUGAUACUGACACUGAGGUGCGAAAGCUUGGGGGAGCAAACAGGGAUUAGAUACCCCUGGUAGUCCACGCCGUAAAACGAUGUCGAACUAGCCGUUGAGAUCCUUUGAAGAUCUUAGUUGGCGCAGCUAACGCGAUAAGUCGACCGCCCUUGGGGAGUUACCGGCCGCCAAGGUUUAAAAACUUCAAAAUGAAUUUGAACUGGGGGGCCCCGCACAAAGCGGGGGGAAGCAAUGGUGGUUUUAAUUCCGAAAGCAAACGGGGAAGAACCCUU